rnacentral:ncRNA from 1 species
CGCAAUACCAAGGGGUGCCGCUGUACGUUCGCGUACAGGCAGGCUGAGAUGCAUAUCGCAAACCCUUUGCACCUGAUCCGGUUAAUACUGGCGUAGGGAUGGUAGCUAACACUCUU